UCCCUGGUAGUCCAGUGGUUAGGAUUCUGCGCUCUUAUUGGCGAGGGCCCAGGUUCAAUCCCUGGUUGGGGAA